rnacentral:rRNA from 1 species
AACUAACAAGGAUUCCCUUAGUAACUGCGAGUGAAGAGGGAAAAGCUCAAAUUUAAAAUCUGGCAGUGUUUCACUGUCCGAGUUGUAACCUAGAGAAGUGUAACCUGCGCUGGACCGUGUACAAGUCUCCUGGAAUGGAGCAUCACAGAGGGUGAGAAUCCCGUCUUUGACAUGGACCACCAGUGCAUUGUGGUUGUGCUCUCAACGAGUCGAGUUGUUUGGGAAUGCAGCUCUAAAUGGGUGGUAAAUUCCAUCUAAAGCUAAAUAUUGGCGAGAGACCGAUAGCGAACAAGUACCGUGAGGGAAAGAUGAAAAGAACUUUGGAAAGAGAGUUAAACAGUAUGUGAAAUUGUUGAAAGGGAAACGUUUGAAGUCAGUCGCGUUGGUUGGGGAUCAGCCUGACAUUGUUGGGUUUACUUCCUGGUCGACGGGCCAACAUCAGUUUUGACUGCCAGAAAAAGGCCAAAGGAAUGUGGCACCUUUGGGUGUGUUAUAGCCCUUGGUCGUAUAUGGUGAUUGGGACUGAGGAAAGCAGCGUGCCGAAAGGCCGGGUUUCGACCACGUUCACGCUGAGGAUGUUGGCAUAAUGGCUUUAAGCGACCCGUCUUGAAACACGGACCAAGGAGUCUAACAUGCAUGCGAGUGUUUGGGUGGAAAACCCUUACGCGUAAUGAAAGUGAAAGUUGAGAUCCCUGUCGUGGGGAGCAUCGACGCCCGGACCAGAACUUUUGGGACGGAUCUGCGGUAGAGCACGUAUGUUGGGACCCGAAAGAUGGUGAACUAUGCCUGAAUAGGGUGAAGCCAGAGGAAACUCUGGUGGAGGCUCGUAGCGAUUCUGACGUGCAAAUC